CCAGCCCUCCCCGGCCCGAACCGCAGACAGCGCCCGGCGGCGGCGCGAACAGCAGCGAGGAGGUUGGCUCUAGGCUUGGAGCUCACCGCGAGUUCCCGCACAGGGCCCAGCGGGAUAAGAACCCACGGAUUCGGCAGCGCUGGAGGAUGCAGACGAAGCUCCGGGCGGUAGCAGCGGGCCGCCUGACGCCCUGCAGGUCUGCAGUCGAGCAGCUGGGGCCCCGGAGGGCUUGAAGCCUUUUCACAGCGAUGGCGGAGAAGCGGCCACAGGGCCCCCUGGGGCCCAUGCUCUACGGCAAGCUGCCCCGUCUAGAGGCCAACUCUGGACCCCGGCACAGCUUGGCUCCCUCUGCUGCUAACCAGGACCCCUGCAACUACAAGGGUGCCUACUUCUGCCCCAUGGAGGGUGCUGCCAAAGCAGGGCCAGAGCGGUUGGCAUCCUGGACCCGGUACCCACCUUUGUGUCCUGCCAGCAUGGCAGGAUCCCCACUUCGGGAAGACAGCCUGUUGGCCAGCUGUCUGCUCUAUCGCCCACCGGCAGGAAGCUCUGAGAAGGUGCAGGACUCUGGCCCUGGUGAGCUCCUGCCCUUCAGUCCCCAGGCUCAUUCCUACCCAUGCCCCCCGCUGGCAGCACCCAAACCCGUCUAUCGCAGCCCUCUGUGUUAUGGGCUCUCGGCUUGCCUGGGGGAAGGGGCGGCGAAGAGGUCAUUGGAUGUUGAUUGGACACUGAUGGCUGGGCCCCUGUUACCCCCUGCCGAUGCACCUUGUUCUCUGACCCUGGCUCCUGGCAAGGGUCAGUCCCUGGAUGGCACCUUCUUGCGUGGAGUGUCAGUUGGGGGAUCUGGCAAAGACUCCUCAGGGAGCUUCUCCCCGUGCCAGGCAUUCCUGGACAAGUAUCAGACCGUCCACAGCACGGGCUUCCUGGCCUCCAAGUAUGCAGGACCUUAUUCUGGGGACCCCAAGCAGUCAUUGUCUGAGGGACCUCCCAGUCCUUGGACCCAGCUGGCCCAACCCUUGGGGCCAGCCUACCAGGAUACAGUGCCCUCCCACUACCCACUCUCUCCACCUGCACAGGCUCUGUCCUGCCCUCCAGCCUGUCACCACCCAGAGAAGCAGAGCAGCUACAGCUCGGUGCCCCCACUACAGCCUCUGGGAGCCCACAAGGGAGCUGGGUACCUGGCUGGUGGGCUGAGUAGCCCCUACCUGAGGCACCAGACAGCCCAGACACCCUGCAUGCCCCCAGUGGGGCUGGACACUUACUCCUAUCCCUCUGUUCCCCUCCCAGCACCCUCACCAGGCCUUAAGGUGGAGCCACCUCUUGCUCCACGGUGCCCACUUGACUUUGCCCCCCAGUCACUGGGCUUUCCUUAUGCACGGGAUGACCUUGUUCUCUAUGGGGCAUCCCCAGGGCUCAGAGGGACACCACCUUCCCAGAACAGUGUUCAGGCUGUGCCACAGCCCAGCGCCGUCCAGCAAGUGUGCCAGCCCAUGAGUGCCAGUCAGCCAUGCCCAGAGCCUGUGACUGAAGUACGGGAAACUCAGGAGACCAUGUGGCUGCCGAGCUGCAGGAAAGAACAGCUCCAGCCCCAGCUCAAAGAGCACCCUAGGGCACCCAUUGUCAUUGGAGAUAGUCCAGUUCCCCGCACCCCCCCAGCACUCCCAUCCUGUGCCCAGGAGCACCGGUCUGUUCUAGACAGCCAGGGCACGCUGUCCCCUGGCUCUCCACCCAUGCCCAUCAUCGACAAUGUCUUCAGCCUGGCCCCCUACCGUGACUAUCUAGAUGUGCAGACACCCGAGGCUGCCUCUGAGCCUGAUGCGGCCCAACCCCCCAAGGACAGCCAUGACCAAGACUCCAGGGAGACUCCGCCUGCCCAGGAGGCCCCUUUAAGGGAGCGUUGCUCACUUAGGGAGGAAGUGGCACUGGACUUGAGUGUGAAGAAACCCAUGGCAGAGGCUCCUCCUGUCAAGGUCCCCAGUCCUGCGGCAGACCCCGAGCUCCCUGUAGCCGUGGGUGUGCCGGGCGCAGGGAGCACAGUCUCAGAAUUACCUGGGUUGCCAGUGACCACUGAAGCCACCCCAAAGACCAACUUCCACAGCUCUGUGGCCUUCAUGUUUCGAAAAUUCAAGAUCCUCCGGCCAGCACCUUUGCCUGCAGCCAUGGUCCCAUCCGUGCCCACCUCGGUCCCUGCCUCUGACCAGCCUGCACCCACCUCUACAUCCAUGCCCAUUGGACUGCAGAUUCUCACCCAGCCCUUGCCUGUGGCCUGCUUUGACCUGGCGCUGCCCAGUUCUCCAGCUGUAUCUGUGGCCGCCACAGCCCCUACUGUGGCUCCAUCACAUGCUGCAGCCCAGGCUCCAACUCCAGCUUCUACCCCUGUCACAGUGGACUCCCCAGAGCAAUACUUUGCAGGGCUGCAUGAGUCCCUGUGUGAUGCCAUCUCCGGCUCAGUGGCCCACUCCCCACCCGAGAAGCUGCGCGAAUGGCUGGAGACAGCUGGGCCGUGGGGCCAGGCAGCGUGGCAGGACGGCCAGGCUGUGCAGGGGCUGCUGGGCAGGCUGCUGUCCCAGCUGCAGCGCUUCGUGUGCACACAGCAGUGCCCCUUCCCCCACGUCGUGCGGGCUGGCGCCAUCUUUGUGCCCAUCCACCUGGUGAAGGAGCGGCUCUUCCCAAGGCUGCCGCCUGCUUCUGUGGACCACGUGCUGCAGGAGCAUCGGGUGGAGCUGCGACCCACCACACUGUCAGAGGAGCGGGCGUUGCGGGAGCGGGCCCUGCGUGGCUGCACCUCGCGCAUGCUGAAGUUGCUGGCGCUGCGCCAGCUGCCCGACAUAUACCCUGACUUGCUGGGCCUGCAGUGGCGUGACUGUGUACGCCGCCAGCUGGGUGACUUUGACACUGAGGCUGGAUAUGUGCCAUCCUCAGAACCCACCAUGGCCAGAGAUGAGCCAGACAGCCUCUCCCUGGCUCAGAAGUCACCCAUCCCCAAGGCCAGGAAGCUGGGGAGGAAGCCACCAACUCCUGGCCCGGAGAAAGCAGAGGCGACUGCUGGGGGAGAGUCCCACGGUGCCUCACCUGCCCCUGAUGCCAGCGCCAGCCUACCCAGCCCCACACUGAGGGCCCGCUGCCGAAGACUGCUGGCAACCGCCUGGCUUAAUGGCCUGGCACUGCCCACUUGGGGCCACAAGGCCUCAGGAGCAGCCCUGCCCUCGCCCCGCCCACAGCUCUUGAGCGGCCAGAGCCAUCACCUGUAGCACUGGUGGCUGGUGCUGUUUGGACAGCUACUGUUUGGUAAUCACUCUCUCUAUCCCUCCCUCCAGCUGGCCAGCUGCCCAGGAGAGGAGGGGAGAUGCCCUUGGAGUGCUUCUCACCUGGCCCUGCUCUCCACCAGGCCAGGCUGGGAGUCCCUGGACUAGUAACUUGAGGGCCUUUAUUAGAAAGGACUACUUUCCAUCUUUAGAGAAGACAUGUGUGCUUUGGAGUUCCACCAACCAGGGCCCGGAUCCUAGCUCCUUGCUGUGUAACUGGCAAGUCACUUCCUCCCUUGAGCCCUUAGUUCCCCGUUUGUAAAGCAACAACAUAGCCUACCUCACAGGGUUGUGCAGGGGUGACACCUGGCACACACCCGUCAGGGUUCGCUCCCUGCUUCCUCCCCAGGACAAGGGCCCAGCUCCCAGCCUGGGCCUGGGCUAUGAGGCUGAGACAGACAACCUCCAGGAAGUUUUUAUAUGUCAUAGGACUUGGUUAUCUUGGGGUGGUACAGUGAACACUUUCUAGAGUCAUUCCCCAGGAAAGCCUAGAGUUACAGCCCCAGUGUUUGGGCUUGGGUCCUAAACCCCAGCCUGUAGCUCCCUAAGGGAGUCUGCCACCCCCCAUCCCCACUACAGGGGUGCAGGGGUAUAGCCUGGGGCUGGCAUCCUUGUUCUGGGCCUGCUGUUCUCACCCCUGGGAGGUCCCAGGCCUGUCCUAAGUUGAUGCCAGUGACUGCCCUGAACUACCAACCUCACCUAGUGCAUUAUCCCAAGAAAGCUGUAUGUCUGCUGGAAGCCGAGCAUCUGCAGCGACUAGAAGGGACGGGCUGAGAAACAGCUCAGUGCUGAAAGGUCUCUGAAGAUGCAGACUGAGGACUUUGGGGCUCUGCAAGUUGCAGCCCUAUCAGCCAGGCCUGCUAUGGGUUACCUUCUUGCAGUGCUAAACUGAGCCCAGAGUCUGGCAAGCUAGCCCCUUGGCCUGGUUAAGUUUGUAAUAAGGCUGUGGUCCAGGGAGACUCCGCCUGCCCGGGAGGCCCUUUUGAGGACACACUGCUCACUUAGGGAAGAGGUGGCACUGGACUUGAGUGUGAAGAAACUGGCAGAGACUCCUCUUGUCAAGGUCCCCAGUCCUGCAGUGCACUCCGAGCUCCCUGUAGCCGUGGGUGUGCCGGCCGUGGGGAGCAGAGCCU